rnacentral:rRNA from 1 species
AGCGGCGGACGGGUGAGUAACGCGUGGGUAACCUGCCUCAUACAGGGGGAUAACAGUUGGAAACGGCUGCUAAUACCGCAUAAGCGCACAGUACCGCAUGGUACGGUGUGAAAAACUCCGGUGGUAUGAGAUGGACCCGCGUCUGAUUAGCUGGUUGGCGGGGUAACGGCCCACCAAGGCGACGAUCAGUAGCCGACCUGAGAGGGUGACCGGCCACAUUGGGACUGAGACACGGCCCAA